rnacentral:rRNA from 1 species
AGCGAACGCUGGCGGCAGGCCUAACACAUGCAAGUCGAACGAACCUUUCGGGGUUAGUGGCGGACGGGUGAGUAACACGUGGGAACGUGCCGUUAGGUUCGGAAUAACUCAGGGAAACUUGUGCUAAUACCGAAUGUGCCCUUCGGGGGAAAGAUUAAUCGCCUUUAGAGCGGCCCGCGUUUGAUUAGCUAGUUGGUUGAGGUAAUGGCUCACCAAGGCGACGAUCAGUAGCUGGUCUGAGAGGAUGAUCAGCCACAUUGGGACUGAGACACGGCCCAAACUCCUACGGGAGGCAGCAGUGGGGAAUCUUGCGCAAUGGGCGAAAGCCUGACGCAGCCAUGCCGCGUGAAUGAUGAAGGUCUUAGGAUUGUAAAAUUCUUUCACCGGGGACGAUAAUGACGGUACCCGGAGAAGAAGCCCCGGCUAACUUCGUG